rnacentral:rRNA from 1 species
GAUGAACGCUAGCUACAGGCUUAACACAUGCAAGUCGAGGGGCAGCACGGAGAUAGCUUGCUAUCUUGGGUGGCGACCGGCGCACGGGUGAGUAACGCGUAUCCAACCUGCCCAUUACUCUGGGAUAGCCUUGCGAAAGUAAGAUUAAUACCGGAUGUUGUUAAAAACCCGCAUGAGUUUUUAACCAAAGAUUUAUUGGUAAUGGAUGGGGAUGCGUGACAUUAGGUAGUUGGUGAGGUAACGGCUCACCAAGCCGACGAUGUCUAGGGGUUCUGAGAGGAAGGUCCCCCACACUGGAACUGAGACACGGUCCAGACUCCUACGGGAGGCAGCAGGGAGGAAUAUUGGUCAAUGGAGGAGAGUCUGAACCAGCCAAGUAGCGUGCAGGAUGACGGCCCUCUGGGUUGUAAACUGCUUUUAGUUGGGAAUAAAAAGAGGGACGUGUCCCUAAUUGUAUGUACCAUCAGAAAAAGGACCGGCUAAUUUCGUGCCAGCCGCCGCCGUAAGAC